AACGAACGCUGGCGGCAUGCCUAACACAUGCAAGUCGAACGAGGCCUUCGGGUCUAGUGGCGCACGGGUGCGUAACGCGUGGGAACCUGCCCUUAGGUUCGGAAUAACUCCCCGAAAGGGGUGCUAAUACCGGAUAAUGUCUUCGGACCAAAGAUUUAUCGCCUUUUGAUGGGCCCGCGUUGGAUUAGCUAGUUGGUAGGGUAAAAGCCUACCAAGGCGACGAUCCAUAGCUGGUCUGAGAGGAUGAUCAGCCACACUGGGACUGAGACACGGCCCAGACUCCUACGGGAGGAAGCAGUGGGGAAUAUUGGACAAUGGGCGAAAGCCUGAUCCAGCAAUGCCGCGUGAGUGAUGAAGGCCUUAGGGUUGUAAAGCUCUUUUACCCGGGAUGAUAAUGACAGUACCGGGAGAAUAAGCACCGGCUAACUCCGU
rnacentral:rRNA from 1 species